GUGCCCAACCCGCCCGCUUCUCCUGCCUAGGCUCUUCUUUCUGCUCCUGUCGCCAUGGCCCCGGCCUCGGCGCUCAAGCGACCCUCUCGCUCCGCCCAGACCCCUGGAUGCCCAGCUGCCGCACCUCCCGUGGCCCCACGCUGUGGCUACGUGUUGUCUGAAGACGCCUGGGGAAACCUUCAGGGCCUCUGUACUGGCCUGUCAUGUGGUCAACCAGGAUAAUAGAUGGUUUUCCCUCAGUGUGAACAUCGAGGUGUCUGGGUUCAUGGAAGCUGGUGAAGAAACCACCUACAACUAUACCAUGUCCUGUCCCUAUUUCACAUGGGCCUCGAGGAAGAUUCUCUGAAGGGAACUACAUGGAGAUCUCCUUGAUUGCACGGUCAACCCCGCUCCUGUCUGUCAGGCUCAGGAACCACUUACAAGCUAUGGCAGGUGAUGUUCCAGCAUCCCACAGGGAGGAUUAUGCUGGUGAGCCACAUGGCCAAGCAGGACUAUGGCUUCAACAGCUCUGGGGCCUGCAUGUUCCUGCAUUAGCCCUACUCCAGCAAUGAGGCUGAAGUUACCAGAGUGACAUCAUGGUAUCUGGUGCAAGCUAUAGCAUCCACCUAUUCUUGGAGCACACGUGGUCAGACACUGAUUGGCAUGUGACCAAGUUGAUGGUGGUCAAAACAGAACUCCUUUCAUGCCCACAAGCUUCAGUAUUACUAUGUUCCCUGCCACUUCCGUUGAAGUUUUGCAGGAUUGGGAUGAUCCUUUGGUGUGAACGAAGCCCCAAAGAGGACCACGUGGAGAGUGCCUGACUGUUCCUGUGAUGUCUUCUAGUACAUGAACAGGAAUGAAACCCACUAUGUCCUCCAUGUGAACUACAUGCUGAGCGUGGGUCCAGAUGGGAAACCAUUCUCCUACCCUGCAGAAAUGGUAUAUAGUUUCAAGGAUGUGGACCUCACUGGUGAGAAGCUGGGCUUCUGGGUCCCCAUGCUGCUUCAUCCCACCUCCCAACCCUGUCUUCAGGCCCACUGCUGAUCCCAGUCUAGAACCACAGCACCGCCCCCAUCCUGCAUGAAGAAGGCCUUGUGCAUCUGCCUUGGUGAGAUCUUUCCAGGCUGACUGGUCUGUACUCCCUGGGGAGAUGAUCGAGACCAGCUCACACUGCUGUGUGUCACAUCCAUACCUUCUAUGGGAAAACUAACCCCCCUCGCCUCCUAUGUGAAGUCUCAGGCUUCACAGCCCAUUUCAAAUGCUGUUUCUCCUAUAACCACAUAGCCUGCCAACCACUGGAUCUCCUUUCUGGUUCCUCCCUCUCCCCCCAACUUUUUCCUUUUGAACUCUCAUAAUCAGAGCCAUAACCAUUUUCUGCCUUGCACUAGUUACUUGUCCUUGACUGUCUUUAUUUUCCCUUCUGAGCUGACUUUCUUGAAGGCAGGGCCCCCAACCUGAUCACCAUGCCUCAGAUAGUAUCCAGGUUUUGCCUUCAGCCCCUCAAAUAAUACAUAUAAAAAUGAACAAAUUCCAAUAUUUAUCCACAACCUACUUGAUGGCCUAAAAAUGCAUUUUAAAUGGGUGUGUCUGAGGUAACUUGUGAAAAGCCCUGGGGUCAGGAGCCAAGUCCUACCUCAAGGAGCAGCAUAAAGGCUUAGCCCAGCCUCGUCCAAGGACUGCCAGGUAAAAUAGAGAACAGACUUUGAUCAAAAUAUGGUUGGAAACAGGAUGGUUGUGAGAACUAUGGUUGUGUUCCUAGUGUGUUUCCCUAGUGGGACUGUGGCCAUCUCUUCCAUGAUGGCCACAGACCCUUCCAUUGACAUGUGCAAGGCCACACUGAAGGAUUGCACCUGCAAGCCAACAGAGUCUAGCAGCAACCAAACCUUCUUCUGACUUGACGUCACCAGCCGUGGUACCUCAGUGAGGCUGCAAAAAAGAGAAUAACCUGCUAGAGGUAGACUUUUACCCUGUCUCCCAGGGUGAGAAGGUCCAAUACCCCUCAUUGGUCAAGAAGCUGGUGAAGUUUGUGGCACCCAGAUUCAAAGAGGUGUAUCUGUACCACCUGACCCAAUCCUGCCUACACUUGGACCCUGACGGGCAUUGUGGUGGCCAGUACUAUCCAGAGGAGAGAGAAGGAGUGACUCCAGGACUUAUAUGCCCACAAGCCAAAAGAAGAUCAAGAUCUGAGUGGGAACUGUGGAAAGCAUGUCAUGCGAGCCCCUGCCGCCCUUGAAACUCUGCGUUCCUCCUCCUCAAAGAACAGUGCCUGAAGGUCCUGGCUGUGGCCCUGGCUGGCCAUCUUGCUUCCUGGUCACGGUGGUGGCCACUGUGCUGGUCCUGUCCAAGAUGACCUGUACAUCAUUCCAUGAAUGACACGUGACAACAGCUUCCCAGUGUAAUAAGCACAUUUAACCCAGCACUUGUCAGCCCCACUGUUCUGUUGGAAGUGUUCUAUCUCACUGAUCUUGCCUCUCCUAAAGCAAGGGACAACUCCUGGCACUCCGCUGCAGAGGCCCUUGAAGCCUGUUGGAAUUUUAGUGAAAUGAGAUGCCUGGCUUAAGCCAUGUUGCCUGGCUUCUCAAGUACCAGCGGACAUAUUACUAGCAAGGAAGAAGGCUAGCAGCAAGAAUGGUUAUUGCAUCCUAGAGGCAUUUAGUGGAGGAGAAAACUGCCCUGGUACCGCCAUAGCCCUAAGUGCUGCCCAGAGUUCUGAGCUCUCGAUGAGCACUUGGAACACGUCUGCCUGCAGCCUCCCUACACUUUUUUAUGACUUGUCCUACUUGUCAAGCCCAGCUUGUCCCACUUCUCCACAUGAGUCUUCCAGUGACAUCUUUGUGACCAUCUCCACCCCCUGGGUAAAUGCUCCACGCUGGGAGUCCACAAAACACAGUCUGACUUAGAGAUUCUCUGGCAUGACUCUCUUCCCCACUGUGUACACUGACUGCCUUAGAUGUAGGCCUCUUGUUUGGGGCCCUUCCUGGCCAGACCCUGAAGCAGCCUCUGAGGAGGGUGGUAAGAAUGGUUCCCUAGAGCCCAAAAAAAAAAAAAAAA
rnacentral:lncRNA from 1 species